UUGCCCUACGGGAGGCAGCAGUGAGGAAUAUUGGUCAAUGGACGAAAGUCUGAACCAGCCAUGCCGCGUGCAGGAUGACGGCUCUAUGAGUUGUAAACUGCUUUUGUAUUAGGGUAAACACCCCUACGUGUAGGGGCUUGAAAGUAUAAUACGAAUAAGGAUCGGCUAACUCCGUGCCAGCAGCCGCGGUAAUACGGAGGAUCCAACCGUUCUCCGGAUUUAUUGGUUUUAAAGGGUGCGUAGGCGGUUU
rnacentral:rRNA from 1 species